GCCAAAAUGUAAACAGCAAGUGUUUGCGUGUGCGGUGAUUUUAAUAAACAUAAAAUCAACCACGGAAGCAUGAUUUAGUUGUGGUGGAACCGAAAAAACAAUGCUUGGAGCAUGGAAUAAAGCCGAAUGAUAUUUCUAACCUUCACGCACGACGCCGCCGCUAGGUAAGGUAUGUUUAUGUGUAAUUACGAUCAUUGUUCCAUUUUAGUGUGUGAUUUGUGCAAUAUAACCGUUCCUGGCGGGGAUAGUCAAUAGUCGAUACCCUUUGCAGCUGUGAAGGGGUGCAGAAGAAGGGGCUCGCUAUCACCCUUCCCACACCCGGAUGCUUUUUCCACGGAUGAAGAAUAUGUUCCUGGCUGUAUGCGCUAAAUCUAACGGUGAUCCGUAUCGUGAACGAAUCGGCAUAGGCGGUGCCUGUCCCCGGCGGUUUGUGAAAGUGGUACACAACGGUAUAGAGUACGAUAGACAACAUGCAACUGAUCAGCGAAGUGCGCCACCUGAUGCUGGCGUUCGGCAAGACACAGAAGGAGAUGGCAUAGGAGUUCGACGAGUGGAACAAGGACGUGCUAGAUUCGUUCCAGAUCGAGGACCGCGACGAUGAGGGAUAGUUGCUGGUGCUAAUUAGUGACAUAGCCAGAAGGGUACGGGCAAGUUGUCGGGGAUUGCCGCCCAGCCGUUGUGGUGUUGCGAAUUGGUGAGCGGUCUUUUCCCGCUGCUUAUCUGCUCUGAAGGAUGGCCGUGCUUGGGCCAACUAUCAACUAGCCGGACCCAGCACGAAAUGGACCGCGCAAGGCUUCAUAUUGCUGAGCCAAGCGGCCAACGAAUUAAAGUAGAACGUGAACGACGGUGGCAUUACGUUGAUGGCAUAGCAGUUACAUAAUGUUCAGCAGUAUCAUCAGCAACGUGUUCCUCGGCAACAUUCGACAUGCGUUUGUGCACAAUCCGCAUCUUACUAUCCAUCUUAUGAUGCGUGUUCCUCUGAAGCUGUGAAACGGUUGCCAAAUGGACCAGCACCGGAAUAUUUUAUAAUACUGGAGUAUUUGGCCAUAAACGUACUAGUUAAUUGAAUUAUAAAAAAAAAACAUCAAAACAGCACACUAUUGCCUCGAGUCGAGUACAAGCACCGAUUUGAAAAAAAAAUGCGCAUAAAAAGCCUUAUUGUCAUGUGCAGCAGGACGACCACGACGAACGGCUUUGCUUGCAUGCACUUAAACAUACACACCUUUGGGUUUUAUGAGUCCCGUAUAGUUUGAUUUGUGUAAAAAUCAAUGGUCGAUCUACCUGUGGACAUAUGUCCCCAUUACACCUAACCAAUUAAGGGGCAAACGACGGCUCUGGAUUGAAAGUGGUUCAUGGAACUCUUAUAGAUCUCGAAAUCAGUUAGCGCUCGAUACACAAGUAAGCAGCUAAGUAUGUGACGAAUGUACAUGUUAUCAUUUAUGUUCUAUAAUAGUUAUCUGUAAAUUGUUAAAUGUAUGGUAAUACCCUUACAACAAUGCAAUUCUGACACGUCCUUGUGCAGAGCAUUAACAUGUGCCAUUCGAUAUCCUCGUUUGGGAACUACGAUAUAUGCUUUAUAUGUUUAUGGUAAGGCUACACUUAGUUUUUAUCUUUUUUUGUUUUGGGAUGUAUUGUUAUUCGUUUUAGGGCGUGUAAAACAAUACUGAAACAAAAUUAUGUCGCGUUAAGAAACACACGUACGAAUCAACAACCGGGCAUCUUGAUUUGCAAAUCGAUUAUGUUGCAUAAGUGUGACAGCUUUUGUUUAUCUCUUAACUAAAGUAUGUUUUCUCUACUUAUAGUGGCUAACCAAACAGAGCUUUAAGGACGGAAAUAAUUUUCCAUACAUACAGUAAAUCAUCCCUUAAAGCAACUUCUGAACGUAGUGUUCCCAACAAUAUGCUUCGGCCUAUUUGAAUAGUGCUCGUGAUUGCAUUGUGUAUGUGGCGUAUUUGAUGCACAGUAACACGUUUGACCGUCACGAUAGGUGCUUUGAAGUAAAGCGUGUUUUAAAAUGCUUUAGAAGCAGUAUCUUUGCACGUUUACAAUUUCAGUUUGAUGAGCAACUGUGCAUAAGCGAGUUAUCAAUCUCGUUGGAAAUAGGAAAAUUAUAACCGGUUUUAGUCAAUUAUCACAUCCGUCGUGUAGCACAUUGCGACCGUAGCGAAUUGCUUAAAAAAGACAUUAUUUCUUCUGCCGUUGGGUUAUACUAUAACAAUACACCUGCCAGAUCAUUUCUUUUAAGAUAUGCAGCUUGAAGUGCAACUUGCCUUUCUCAACAUUCUUGCAU